CUCCUACGGGACGCAGCAGUGGGGAAUAUUGCACAAUGGGGGAAACCCUGAUGCAGCGACGCCGCGUGAGUGAAGAAGUACCCCGGUACGUAAAGCUCUAUCAGCAGGGAAGAAAAUGACGGUACCUGACCAAGAAGCCCCGGCUAACUACGUGCCAGCAGCCGCGGUAAUACGUAGGGGGCAAGCGUUAUCCGGAUUUACUGGGUGUAAAGGGAGCGUAGACGGCAGCGCAAGUCUGGAGUGAAAUCCCGG
rnacentral:rRNA from 1 species